CGGGCUGCACCUCUCUUAGACCUCACUUAAGGGCUGACUGCCACUGGGGAAGGAUCUGUGGUUGGAGAUCCCUUUUUUGUGGAGUCUUUCCUGUAAGCCUGGAUGUUCGGAGAUGGGAAGGAUAUCUCACCAUACCUAUCGCUGCCCCCCCAAGCCCUCAAAAUGCAUCCAGAGAGGGGUGUGAGAGAUGAGACACAAAGCUCCUGUAAACGUCUGAGUAACCAUUCCGAAACAAAAAGUGUUGGUUAAUAGCUGCCUGGAUUCUGGUGUGCUGCUUCUUCCUGCUCACUCAGCACGUGCUGCAGGAACCCUGCUGCCCUGGUCAGCCCAUGCCUGCUGCUGGCAGAAGCGGCUGCUCUGGAGCUGGUGGAAACGUGCCAGCUCACCAGCUGGAGCCCUGACCUGCACUUGGCUUCAGCAAAGCAACAUCAAGGUCAGGCUCUGUGGUGUGCAGGGAUGGGCACAGCUGUCCUGGUGGCACGAUGGCUCCACCAGCAGGGAUCAAGAACCUGUCCAUGUCAGCACAGCUGCACUAAUUGCUGGUAGCAGGAGGGUUGGCAUUGCAGAGCUGCCCGCACAUCCGGGGGCUGAGGUCUACUUUGGAUUGAAAAGUGCACUUUGGAUCAAUUUGUUCCUUGUAUGAUUGGGAGAUAUCUGAGAAUUCCUACUAAGUCAGGAUGCUUCUACUGUGGUAAUAUUUAGUACCAGCUCUGGCAUAUUUCUUUUGGCUCCCUGAUUAGACCAAGUGCCAAGCUGUCCUUUGCGGCCUUAAUUAUCGCAGCUUCAGGCCAGAGCUGCCUGCUUACUGCUUAAUCCCAUGGCCUAGAGUGAACCCUGGAAAUGCUUAAUUAAAUGACAUUCCACAACAGAUUAAAGAGUCAGAAGCCCAAGAUAAAGGAAAAGGGAGAUGGUGGCUGUGGGAGUAGCAGGUGCUCUUCCCUUUCAGGCUUCUGGCUUUGAUUAUUUCACCUUGAUUACAUUGGAAACAGCAGCACGAGUUGAUAGGUGCUGCACUUCUACACUUGGCUGCUCAUGUGUUCUGUGCAAAGUGGCUCUGAAGCAGAGGGCGGUCACCAGCUUGGGCACAGACAAGCCCCUGCCUUUUUGUCUUUGAUAUUAAAAAGAAAACCAAAGGCUCCCUGUGUAACUAACUAGCAUGGACUUACUUGGAGCAGGGAUGAUCAAACUGUGCCUUGGGUUCCCCUGGGAGCCAAAGCCUUCAUCUAGCCACAGCAGAUCAGCAUACAAAUACAAAUGUUGUAGGUACUGUUACACUAUGCUGAUUAGGGCUCAAGUCUUCAGCAAAUCUCUUUGUAGCAAGAAAAUGACUGCAAGUGGGGAAUGUGCAGUACUGAGUGCAUCUCCUUCAGGAGCUGAUCUGUAAAGGCUGUUCCUGCUAAUGUUGUGUUUUUAUCAUAUUACUCUUCAAUUAUUUGUUCCAGCAGUUCUCUUGUCUUGGCUGAAUGAGUGGCUGUGCAGAAGCUGACCUGGAGUGAUUUCCUCUUUGCAAAGAGAAGUGGAUCACGGGGGGGAUGUUGUGAUGCUUCUGGGCGUUGAUUUGUGUGCUUUGUGUUCUCCUUCAGUCCUGUAAUGCAAUUUCAGCAAUUAAACUACAGCAGGGGAAUGACUCAAAUGUUCACGCUCACACCAGGUAGACAUUGGGAAAUAAAAGAUGGAGGGUGAGGAUGCUCCUGACUUAAUCCCUAGUGUGCAUUUUGUCUGCACCACAAAGGGUACCACAUGGUUUGACACAACUGGAAGAUUUGGGUGAGUGGAGGCAAGGCUUUUUUUUUUUCCCACUUGCUAGCAGAAGUAAGGCGGAUUAUUUCUAAACGUCAGCUAAGCUGCGCGAGGGAGUGUAGCGCAUCAUUUCCUUCUCUCCACAACAAAGAAGACUGUUCUGCUGUAUGGGGCUAUUCAGGUGGUGGUUUAGAGCUGUUAGUGCUAGGGCUGGGCAGCUGCCCAUGCUCUGCAGGCACUGUGCUCCAGCUGCUGCCCCACAGCUGUGCCCUAAGCCUCAGUUUGGCUGGGCUUCAUCUGCAGGUUGAGAUGCUUCUGCCAAGAGCAGUCAUCUGCCUGAAUGCCCCACAGCUUUACUGAGCACAGUGCACUUAUCAACACUAACGUUUAUCAGCUUCUAUCACUGCUUUUCUUUUUACAAAUGCAAAGCAGAGGACUUUAAAAGAAGCAAGUGGUAUCUUACAGCAAAAGCUUCUUUUUAGAUAUUCCAUAUCUAAAAAAGGAGGAAUAGCCUGUGGCAAUACAUAGAAUCAUAGACUGGUUUGAGUUGGAAGGGACCUUUAAUGUCACCUAGUUCCAACUCCUGCUAUGUGGCAUUUUUAUUUACCUACUGGUGUUUUGUACUCAGAGCCAACAAGUCUGCACUGGUUCCUAUUCAGAGCCUUAGAAGUGAUAAAAGGCAUCAGUGCAGAUUCUUUUGCUUUUGUGUGUGUAUGUGUGUUUUCUAUUGUUCCUGCAAAUAAAUGGAAUAUGCAUCUUGUUCCAGCACCAAGCCUGGUUCUGUGAUGCUAUGGUGUCCUCUGCUUCCCAUGCCACCUCUGAGCUGCCUGGCAGCACACGGCCCCUCUCACCCUCAGGUUGGGCACAGAACACAAGCCAAACCCUGGGGGUCUUGCCCUGGUUAACCUGCAUGAAGUUUGUGUGUGUACAAACUGGGACUGCCCUCAGUCACAAGCAAAGCCCUGUCCUGUGCACAGCACCAUUGCAGACCUCAUCCAAAGGCCUCCUUUGUAUCUGGAGCAACUUAAAAGCCUUUGGAUGGAGUCUUUGUCCUUGAAAAUACUUCUUUGAUGUUUCGGGCCUUCACAUGUCCUCCAGACUUUCAUUUAAUGCAGUAUUUUGUUUCGGUGGGUUUUUGUGAGAUUUCAGGUACGAUUUCAAUAAAGGCAGGGAUGUAUCGAAGCAUAAGGUAUUUGCUCAAGUCUUAAUCAAUCCAAACUGCUCUCUGAAGAAGGAAGCACAGAGGCUGCUGGAGCAGGCCAGGCUCUUACAGGGCAGCAGAUGUUUCUCUUUAUUGUCAGAACAGCCAUCUUUAUUAAAUACCAAAGAAAGCCUUAUAAAUCCGGGAAGGCGGUGCAGUCCACGUGGAGGACACCUCUUCCCCAGGCCAAGCAGCCUUUCUGGAAGUCCAUGGUUCUUCCUGCUGAUCCCUCAAUGGCAUUGCCAUGACGUGAAAGCAGAUGGCAAAAUGGAAUGUUUAACAAUGAAAACCAUGUUUAACUAAUGUUUAACCUGGCAACAGGAGAGGCAAAGAAGGGAGCAGAGCCAGGAGAGCAGAGCUCCUUCGGGGUGAGCUGGAAAGUGGCAGGGGUGAUGGGUCCGGUGCUUUCCAGUACUGGCAUCUUCUGCUUUGAAGAAACAACAAGAAUUCAUGGAUUAAUAAAGGGAAAUUGUGACUGACUAAGCAGAAGGUGUGCCAGUCUGAGUUCUGGUCUGUCUGAACCAGGUAACGUCCGUAGAUACGGCAUUAAUUUAAUUCUCAGUUGAAAUACUCCAGAGAAAAUGUCAGAUCGAUAAUGUAGGAAAGGGCAAAGAUUUGCUAAGCCUGGCUGACUUGUGUAUGUUAACUACUGUGAGAUAGAUAUGGAUAAAUGCUGAACAUUAAGGUGAGUAAUCACAACUGUCGUGGGUGUCUGAAAAAAUUUUCUGCAUAAAGACUGUACAAAACAAAGGUGUUUCGGGUGAGAAGCCAAGAGCGAAGGCAGCAGGCUGGUAUUUCCUGCACAGCUCUGCAGUUAGCAUCCCUGGGUCUGCUGCUUUCCUGGAAGAGUGCAAAAAAGCCUUGGCACAGAUGCUGUUCCAGCCUAGCUGGCAUGACGUUGUG